AUUGAACGCUGGCGGCAGGCCUAACACAUGCAAGUCGAGCGAGCGGCGGACGGGUGAGUAAUGUAUGGGGACUGCACGAUAGUGGGGGAUAACUACUGGAAACCGUAGCUAAUCCAGCAUACUAUCGGAAAACCCAUAUGGGAUUAGCUAGUAGGUGUGGUAAUGCCUCACCUAGGCGACGAUCCCUAGCUGGUCUGAGAGGAUGAUCAGCCACACUGGUACUGAGACACGGCCCAGACUCCUACGGAGGCAGCAGUGGGGAAUAUUGCACAAUGGGCGCAAGCCUGAUGCAGCCAUGCCGCGUGUAUGAAGAAGGCCCUAGGGUUGUAAAGUACUUUCAGUCGGGAGGCGUUACCGACAGAAGAAGCACCGGCUAACUCCGUGCCAGCAGCCGCGGUAAUAC
rnacentral:rRNA from 1 species